UACGGAGGGUGCGAGCGUUGUCCGGAAUCAUUGGGCGUAAAGGGCGCGUAGGUGGCCCGGUCAGUUCGUGGUGAAAGCGCGGGGCUCAACCCUGCGUCGGCCAUGAAUACUGCCGCGGCUGGAGCACUGUAGAGGCAGGCGGGAAUUCCGGGUGUAGCGGUGGAAUGCGUAGAGAUCCGGAAGAACACCGGUGGCGAAGGCGGCCUGACUGG
rnacentral:rRNA from 1 species